UACGUAGGGGGCAAGCGUUGUCCGGAAUUAUUGGGCGUAAAGAGCGCGUAGGCGGUCCGAUAAGUCGGCUGUGAAAGUCAGGGGCUCAACCCUUGGAAGCCGGCCGAUACUGUCGGACUAGAGUCCGGAAGAGGCGAGUGGAAUUCCCGGUGUAGCGGUGAAAUGCGCAGAUAUCGGGAGGAACACCGAUGGCGAAGGCAGCUCGCUGGGACGGUACUGACGCUGAGGCGCGAAAGCGUGGGGAGCAAACAGG
rnacentral:rRNA from 1 species